rnacentral:rRNA from 1 species
UACGUAGGGUGCGAGCGUUAAUCGGAGUUACUGGGCGUAAAGCGUGCGCAGGCGGUUUUGUAAGACAGGCGUGAAAUCCCCCGGCUUAACCUGGGAACUGCAUUUGUGACUGCAAGACUAGAGUGUGGCAGAGGGGGGUAGAAUUCCACGUGUAGCAGUGAAAUGCGUAGAUAUGGGGAGGAAUACCGAUGGCGAAGGCAGCCACCUGGGUCAACACUGACGCUCAUGCACGAAAGCGUGGGGAGCAAACAGG